rnacentral:RNase_P_RNA from 1 species
GAAGUGGGUUGGAUAAUCGCGCGAAGCAAUUCUCGAGGAAAGUCCGGGCACCAUAGAGCAGAAUGCCAGUUAACGGCUGGGCGGUGAGAGCCGACGGAAAGUGCAACAGAGAGUAGACCGCCGAUGGCGCUUAGGCGCACAGGUGAGGGUGAAAGGGUGCGGUAAGAGCGCACCGCGCAACUGGUAACAGGCUGUGGCUAGGCAAACCCCAUUCGGUGCAAGACCAAAUAGGAAAACAGGUGAGUUUCGUUUCGGCGGAAUUCCGCCCUGUGGCUCGCAGGGGUUUUCGGGUAGGUUGCUUGAGGUUGGCAGUGAUGCCCGCCCUAGAUGAAUGAUUGUCGCUCGCAAGAGAACAGAACCCGGCUUACAGACCCGCUUCAUUU